CCCGCCUACUUACUCUACGGAACUGAUGCGCUCCGUUUCCUCGUUUGAACUCACGAGCGGGACACGGUGGAGCGCGUGUGCAACGCACCUUUGAAGGAGAAAAUGUCACACUGAAUGACAGGCUACAGAGCGCUGGGCCGCUGCUGGAGACUGAUAUCUACAUCACUUACACAGCAACAAUGGAGACGACCUACCUGGGAUAAAACGAGCUGCCGGUGGAUCAUUCUCCAACAGUGAGGACGAGGACUUGAGGAGGUACACGCCUGCUAGUUUCCACUCAGCUCCAUUUCGACGGUAAAAGACAGUAGAGACACAAACAAACAGCGUACCGUGUGUUGGGAAGGAUCCAGUCACAUCCUUUCCUCUUUCUCUGGACCAAAGUCAAGCUGGAGGUAAUACAACGAGUACUUCCGGGAAGCGCCAU